GGGGGUAUAGCUCAGUGGUAGAGUGUGUGCCUAGCAUGCAUGAGGUCCUGGGUUCAAUCCCUAGUACCUCCA
rnacentral:tRNA from 1 species